CCUACGGGUUGCAGCAGUGGGGAAUAUUGCACAAUGGGCGCAAGCCUGAUGCAGCCAUGCCGCGUGUAUGAAGAAGGCCUUCGGGUUGUAAAGUACUUUCAGCGGGGAGGAAGGCGUUGUGGUUAAUAACCGCAGCAAUUGACGUUACCCGCAGAAGAAGCACCGGCUAACUCCGUGCCAGCAGCCGCGGUAAUACGGAGGGUGCAAGCGUUAAUCGGAAUUACUGGGCGUAAAGCGCACGCAGGCGGUCUGUCAAGUCGGGUGUGAAAUCCCCGGGCUCAACCUGGGAACUGCAUUCGAAA
rnacentral:rRNA from 1 species